CGCGUGAGGGAUGAAGGCCUUCGGGUUGUAAACCUCUUUCAGCAGGGACGAAGCGUGAGUGACGGUACCUGCAGAAGAAGCACCGGCUAACUACGUGCCAGCAGCCGCGGUAAUACGUAGGGUGCGAGCGUUGUCCGGAAUUACUGGGCGUAAAGAGUUCGUAGGCGGUUUGUCGCGUCGUUUGUGAAAACCCGGGGCUCAACUUCGGGCUUGCAGGCGAUACGGGCAGACUUGAGUGUUUCAGGGGAGACUGGAAUUCCUGGUGUAGCGGUGAAAUGCGCAGAUAUCAGGAGGAACACCGGUGGCGAAGGCGGGUCUCUGGGAAACAACUGACGCUGAGGAACGAAAGCGUGGGUAGCAAACAGGAUUAGAUCCCCUGGUA
rnacentral:rRNA from 1 species